rnacentral:rRNA from 1 species
CCGCCAGAGAACUACAAGUGAAAAACUUAAAACUCAAAGGACUUGACGGUGUUCCAUAUCGACCUAGAGGAGCCUGUCCUAUAAUCGAUACUCCCCGCUCCACCCAACCCUAACUGGCAUCUCAUCAGCCUAUAUACCGCCGUCGAUCAGCCUACCCUAUGAAGGCUCAACAGUAGACACAAUAGUCUUAUCACUAAUACGUCAGGUCAAGGUGUAGCAAAUGUUAAGGAAGAGAUUGGCUACAUUUUUUAUUUUAAAAAAUACGAAAAAUACUAUGAAACAAUAUAUGAAGGUGAAUUUAGUAGUAAAAUAAACAAGAGUGUUUAUUUUAAC